UGCAGCACGUUUGAUUAUGCGUAUCAUGCUACCAGAAUCAGAGCCUGGUGAAAGCUCAUCGUCCCUCUCUGGCUUAGCAUUCAGGUCAAAUUCACCUUUAAAUGGUGAAGCAGAAGAUUUCUUCUCAGUAAGGUAAUUGGGAUCAUCAACAGAAGAUUUCCUCUCAUCCACGUAGUUGGGAUCAUCAACAGAAGAUUUCUUCUCAGUCAGGCAGUUGGGAUCAUCAACAGAAGAUUUCUUCUCAUUCAGGCAGUUGGGAUCAUCAACAGAAGACUCCUUCUCAUUCAGGGAGUUGGGAUCAUCAACGGAAGAUUUCUUCUCAUUAAGGUAAUUGGGAUCAUCAACUGAAGAUUUCUUCUCAUUAAGGUAACUGGGAUCAUCAACGGAAGAUUUCUUCUCAUUAAGGUAAUUGGGAUCAUCAACUGAAGAUUUCUUCUCAUUAAGGUAACUGGGAUCAUCAACGGAAGAUUUCUUCUCAUUAAGGUAAUUGGGAUCAUCAACUGAAGAUUUCUUCUCAUUAAGGUAACUGGGAUCAUCAACGGAAGAUUUCUUCUCAUUAAGGUAAUUGGGAUCAACUGAACCUUCAUUGUUCAGCUCUCCAUGCUGAGGGCUUAAAUGCGCUGCAUCAUCAAUAGAUUCUUGAAUGUCAACAGCAUCAAGCAAUUGCCCAGCUGAUUGCGGCUGCAGCUUUUGACAAGUAGCUUCUGC
rnacentral:lncRNA from 1 species